GACGAACGCUGGCGGCGCGCCUAACACAUGCAAGUCGAACGAGCGAGAGAGAGCUUGCUUUCUCAAGCGAGUGGCGAACGGGUGAGUAACGCAUGAGGAACCUGCCUCAAAGAGGGGGACAACAGUUGGAAACGACUGCUAAUACCGCAUAAGCCCACAGGUCGGGAUCGACCAGAGGGAAAAGGAGCAAUCCGCUUUGAGAUGGCCUCGCGUCCGAUUAGCUAGUUGGUGAGGUAACGGCCCACCAAGGCAACGAUCGGUAGCCGGACUGAGAGGUUGAACGGCCACACUGGGACUGAGACACGGCCCAGACUCCUACGGGAGGCAGCAGUGGGGAAUAUUGCACAAUGGGGGAAACCCUGAUGCAGCGACGCCGCGUGGAGGAAGAAGGUCUUCGGAUUGUAAACUCCUGUUGUCGAGGAAGAUAAUGACGGUACUCAACAAGGAAGUGACGGCUAACUACGUG
rnacentral:rRNA from 1 species